rnacentral:rRNA from 1 species
GAACGGCAGCACGGGGGCAACCCUGGUGGCGAGUGGCGAACGGGUGAGUAAUACAUCGGAACGUGUCCUGUAGUGGGGGAUAGCCCGGCGAAAGCCGGAUUAAUACCGCAUACGCUCUACGGAGGAAAGGGGGGGAUCGCAAGACCUCCCGCUACAGGGGCGGCCGAUGGCAGAUUAGCUAGUUGGUGGGGUAAAGGCCUACCAAGGCGACGAUCUGUAGCUGGUCUGAGAGGACGACCAGCCACACUGGGACUGAGACACGGCCCAGACUCCUACGGGAGGCAGCAGUGGGGAAUUUUGGACAAUGGGGGAAACCCUGAUCCAGCAAUGCCGCGUGUGUGAAGAAGGCCUUCGGGUUGUAAAGCACUUUUGUCCGGAAAGAAAUCCUCUUCGUUAAUACCGAGGGGGGAUGACGGUACCGGAAGAAUAAGCACCGGCUAACUACGUGCCAGCAGCCGCGGUAAUACGUAGGGUGCAAGCGUUAAUCGGAAUUACUGGGCGUAAAGCGUGCGCAGGCGGUCCGCUAAGACAGAUGUGAAAUCCCCGGGCUUAACCUGGGAACUGCAUUUGUGACUGGCGGGCUAGAGUAUGGCAGAGGGGGGUAGAAUU